AUUAAACGCUGGCGGCAUGCCUUACACAUGCAAGUCGAACGGCAGCACGGGGGCAACCCUGGUGGCGAGUGGCGGACGGGUGAGUAAAGCAUCGGAACGUAUCCUGGAGUGGGGGGAUAACGUAGCGAAAGUUACGCUAAUACCGCAUAUUCUGUGAGCAGGAAAGCAGGGGAUCGCAAGACCUUGCGCUCUGGGAGCGGCCGAUGUCGGAUUAGCUAGUUGGUGGGGUAAAGGCCUACCAAGGCGACGAUCCGUAGCGGGUCUGAGAGGAUGAUCCGCCACACUGGGACUGAGACACGGCCCAGACUCCUACGGGAGGCAGCAGUGGGGAAUUUUGGACAAUGGGCGGAAGCCUGAUCCAGCCAUGCCGCGUGAGUGAAGAAGGCCUC
rnacentral:rRNA from 1 species